GAUGAACGCUGGCGGCGUGCCUAACACAUGCAAGUCGAACGAAAACACAGGGAGCUUGUGCCUUCGCCGUUAGCGGGGGGCGGGCGGGUGACACGUAGAUCACCAACUUCUUUUUCUGGGGUGAUAACGGGAAAAAGGUUAUGAUACCGCAUCAUAUUUCGAACCGCAGAAUUCGAUGGAGAUAGAUGGCUUUGCCGAUACAUAUAGAUGGCGCCGGAUUAGCUAGUUGGGUGGGUAACGGCCUACCAAGGCAACGAUACGUAGCGGGCCUGAGAGGAUGAUCGGCCACACUGGAACUGAGACACGGUCCAGACUCCUACGGGAGGCAGCAGUAGGGAAUAUUGCGCAAUGGGCGAAAGCCUGACGCAGCAACACCGCGUGAGUGAUGAAGGUCUUCGGGUCGUAAAGCCCUGUUAUUGGGGAAGAACAAACGUGGAAUAAACUGUCGACGUUCUGACGGUACCUAAUCAAUAAGCACCGGCUAACUACGUG
rnacentral:rRNA from 1 species